rnacentral:rRNA from 1 species
AACGAACGCUGGCGGCGUGCUUAACACAUGCAAGUCGAACGGAAAGGCCCUGCUUUUGUGGGGUUCUCGAUUGGCGAACGGGUGAGUAACACGUGAGUAACCUGCCCUAGACUUUGGGAUAACUUCAGGAAACGGGGGCUAAUACCGGAUAGGAGCUCCUGCUGCGUGGAGGGGGUUGGAAAGUUGCGGCGGUCGGGGAUGGACUCGCGGCUUAUCAGCUUGUUGGUUGGGUAGUGGCUGACCAAGGCUUUGACGGGUAGCCGGCCUGAGAGCGUGACCGGCCACAUUGGGACUGAGAUACGGCCCAGACUCGUACGGGAGGCAGCAGGGGGGAAUAUUGCACAAUGGGCGGACGCCUGAUGCAGCAACGCCGCGUGCGGGAUGACGGCUUGCGGGUUGUAAACCGCUUUCGCCUGUGACGAAGCGUGAGUGACGGUAAUGGGUAAAGAAGCACCGGCUAACUACGUG